GAAGGUUAAUCCACCCAGGGUUAGUCGAUCCUAAGCCGAGGCCGAAAGGCGUAGGUGAUGGAAAAUCUGUCAAUAUUCAGAUACCGCUCGUCACGCGUUACGAGCCAUGGAGCGACGCAGGAGGUAGGACAAGCGACCGGUUGGAUGUGGUCGUCUAAGCUCGUAGAUCUUAACAGAUCGAGAGGCGAAUGGGAGCCCAAACUACGGUGCGGGCGAACUUGUCCGGUUCCACGCUGCCAAGAAAAACCUUCGUGGUGAGUUUGGUGAGUGAUCGUACCGCAAACCGACACAGGUAGGCGAGGAGAAUAUCCUCAGGCGCUCGAACUAACGCUCGUUAAGGAACUAGGCAAAAUAGCCCCGUAACUUCGGAAGAAGGGGUGCUCCAUUAGCGUCAAGUAAAUACUUAUGUAGCGCGAAGGAGUGACACUAAAGUGGGUUCUGUGACUGUUUAGCAAAAACACAUGGCUCUGCUAACUCGUAAGAGGAUGUAUAGGGCCUGAUACCUGCCCGGUGCUGGAAGGUUAAGGGGAUUUGUCAGGGGGUAACUCCGAAGCAUUGAACCGAAGCCCCAGUAAACGGCGGCCGUAACUAUAACGGUCCUAAGGUAGCGAAAUUCCUUGUCGGGUAAGUUCCGACCUGCACGAAUGGCGUAACGACUUCCGCACUGUCUCAACCAGGGACUCAGUGAAAUUGUAUUGGCGGUGAAGAUGCCGUCUACCCGCGAAAAGACGGAAAGACCCCGGCACCUUUACUACAGCUUGACAUUGGAUUUUGGAAUAGGAUGUGUAGGAUAGGUGGGAGGCAUUGAAGCUGGGACGCUAGUUCUGGUGGAGCCACCCUUGAAAUACCACCCUUUUUAUUUUAGAGUUCUAACUUCGACCCAUGAACUGGGCGAAAGACAGUGUCUGGUGGGUAGUUUGACUGGGGCGGUCGCCUCCCAAAGUGUAACGGAGGCGCGCGAAGGUUCCCUCAGGCUGAUUGGAAACCAGCCGUGGAGUGUAAAGGCAUAAGGGAGCUUGACUGCGAGAGAGACAUUUCGAGCAGGUACGAAAGUAGGUCUUAGUGAUCCGGCGAUUCUGAAUGGAAGGGUCGUCGCUCAACGGAUAAAAGGUACGCCGGGGAUAACAGGCUUAUCGCCCCCAAGAGUUCACAUCGACGGGGCGGUUUGGCACCUCGAUGUCGGAUCAUCACAUCCUGGGGCUGGAGCAGGUCCCAAGGGUUCGGCUGUUCGCCGAUUAAAGCGGUACGUGAGCUGGGUUUAGAACGUCGUGAGACAGUUCGGUCCCUAUCUGAUGUGGGCGCAGGAUAUUUGAGAGGAGCUGUCCUUAGUACGAGAGGACCGGGAUGGACGAACCUCUAGUGUACCAGUUGUUCCGCCAGGGGCAUCGCUGGGUAGCUAUGUUCGGAAAGGAUAACCGCUGAAAGCAUCUAAGCGGGAAACCUACCUCAAGAUUAGAUAUCCCUUUCCGGUGGUGACACCGGAGCUAAAGACCCCUUGUAGACUACAAGGUUGAUAGGCCAGAGGUGUAAGUCCAGAAAUGGAUUGAGCUUACUGGUACUAAUGGGUCGUGCGGCUUGACCAU
rnacentral:rRNA from 1 species